UACGUAGGGUGCGAGCGUUAAUCGGAAUUACUGGGCGUAAAGCGCACGUAGGCGGAUUGUUAAGUUAGGGGUGAAAUCCCGGGGCUCAACCUCGGAACUGCCUUUGAUACUGCAAAUCUCGAGUCCGAUAGAGGUGGGUGGAAUUCCUAGUGUAGAGGUGAAAUUCGUAGAUAUUAGGAAGAACACCGGUGGCGAAGGCGGCCCACUGGAUCGGUACUGACGCUGAGGUGCGAAAGCGUGGGGAGCAAACAGG
rnacentral:rRNA from 1 species